rnacentral:rRNA from 1 species
AUGAAGUUCUACCCGCAGGCGAACCUGACGCAGGGCCUCGUCCUCGACGUCAGGCUCAACGCCGGCCCGACAGGUGCGACCGACAUCGUCAGGUACCCAGAAGAUCCGCAUGACCGAGUAUGGCUCCCUUGGGUCACUGCGAGAGAGUGGAAAGAAAUAUCGACGACGAAGCAGGUGGACAGCGCCGACGACGACUACGAGGUGCCGUCGGCGGUAAUGCAGACGGCGUUCAUACCGCUCAAUGCCUCCAUGAACCUCGAGUUCACGUGGGACCUCGAUCCUCGACCUCACGAUCCUUCGCCGGGAUACUUCAUGAUCAUGCAUUUCUCCGAGCUGCAGCUCCUUCCAAGCGACGCCCUGCGCCAGUUUGACAUCAACAUCAACGGCGUGAGGUUGUCCGAAGACAUUAGGCUAUUCUACCUUGGUGUCGGUGUCAUCUACAAUGAAAAGCCCUAUCGGGACAGUAACUACAACAUCUCCAUCAACGCCACCGCCAACUCGACAUUGCUGCCAAUCCUCAACGCCCUCGAGUUGUUCUCCAUCAUGUCGAUGACAAACUUUGGCACGGACUCCGGGGACGUAUCUGCCAUCACGACGAUCAAGGCGAAGUAUCAUGUGCUGAAAAACUGGAUGGGUGACCCGUGCUCUCCCAAGAUUAUGACCUGGGAAAAGUUGAUGUGCAGCUACGACAUUGUCACCCGUCCAAGGAUCAGAAGCGUAAACCUGUCUUCCAGUGGUCUGAAUGGUGACAUAUCAUCGUCUUUCGCGAAUCUAAAGGCUCUCCAGUACUUGGAUCUGUCAAACAACAAUUUGACAGGCACAAUUCCAGAUACUCUUUCGCAAUUACCUUUGUUGAAGAUUUUAGAUUUGUCAGGAAAUAAGCUCAGUGGCUCGAUUCCCUUUGGAUAUCUCAAAAGAAUUCAAGAUGGCUCCCUAAAUCUAAGAUAUGGCAACAACUCAAACCUUUGCACCAAUGCCAAUUCAUGUCGACCUGCUAAAAUGAAGAGCAAGCUGCCCAUAUACAUUGGUGCCCCUGCAGUCGUCAUUGUGGUGAUAGUAUCAGUGGCACUAACACUCUUUUGCUUGUUGAGACGAAAAAAUCCAGGAUUAAUGAAAAACUCCGUAAAGCCACAAAAUGAAACGAGAAACGAUGGGGACACAUCACUUGGACUUGAGACUCGUCAAUUCACGUACAAUGAACUUGAGAGGAUAAUGAACAACCUUCAACAAGUGUUGGGAAAGGGAGGAUUCGGUUAUGUCUAUGAUGGCUUCCUGGAGGAUGGCACUCAGGUGGCGGUAAAGAUACGGUCUGAGUCUUCCAACCAAGGUGACAAGGAAUUCCUAGCAAAGGUUCAAAUUUUAACCCGGAUUCAUCACAAGAACCUUGUCUCCUUGAUUGGUUUCUGCAAGGAUGGGGAGCACAUGGCACUUGUUUACGAGUUCAUGUCAGAGGGAACUCUGCAAGAUCACAUUGUAGGAGGAGACCGUAACGCAAGAUGCUUAACCUGGAGACAGAGACUUAAAAUUGCAGUUGAAUCCGCACAAGGACUGGAGUACCUACAUAAGGGGUGCAAUCCACCUUUGAUUCACAGGGAUGUGAAGGCCACGAACAUCUUAUUGAACACGAGGUUGGAGGCCAAGAUCGCUGAUUUUGGAUUAUCGAAAGCUUUCAAUCGCGACAAUGAAAGCCAGGUGUCCACAAAUGUGAUCAUUGGCACACGCGGAUAUAUGGAUCCAGAGUACCAGACAACAGGGAGGCCGACAACCAAGAGUGAUGUGUAUAGCUUUGGCGUCGUGCUAUUGGUGCUUGUCACGGGAAAGCCACCCACCUUGCAUAACCCACGAAUCAUCGACAUCAUUGAGUGGGUGCAACAACGGUUAUCGAAAGGCAACAUCGAAGGCGUGGUGGAUGUGCGCAUGCACGGUGACCACGACAUCAAUAGUAUGUGGAAGGCCGCUGAUAUCGCCCUCAAGUGCACUGCACAUGCGUCGGUGCGGCGCCCCAACAUGACCGAUGUUGUGCUGCAACUACAGGAGUGCCUCAAGCUAGAGGAGGACCACAUCGGCAGCAACUCCAACAACAACUUCUACACUGGCAUCAGCAGUAACGACCUAAGCAUGAGAAAUGAUUCUUACCCUACUAACCAGUCCACGAAUGUGAGCCAGAGCAGCACUUCAUUUGAAAAAGAACAUAAUUUUGGGAGGGUGCCAACAAUUGACAACGGUCCUGCUGCCCGAUAA